rnacentral:lncRNA from 1 species
ACUUGAUAAGAGAAUUACACUAUAAUGACGGUAUGACUAUAAUUUAUAUUAGGGAUUGACAAACUUUUGGGAAGGUCCAGAUAGUACCUAUUUCAGGAUAUGAAGGGUGAAUAAGAAUAAAAAUCAAGGAUAUUGUGUAAAUAUUCAUAUAAAAAGAAAAAAUAAAUUUCCACAAUUUUUUAUUAAUGAAACUCAAAAGAUAAUAUGAUAACGAUGGAUUAAAAUAUUUUGAUAGUGUAUGCUACUUAGGAGAAGAAUGGAAUUCUGGAGCAAGGGAGAUAACCUUUUGCUUAUUUGGGGUUCAAAGUCAAUAUUCUCAUCAAAGUUAAUUGUGAAUGUUCAUCUGUUAAGGCUAGUGUGUUUUAAAAUUUUAUAUAUUUCAAUUUUGAGAAUUUACUUUUCACAUAGAUACACCAAAUACUGGUAUUAACUCACAAGCAUAUGCUUUUAGUUGAGCACACUCAUCAUUUGGAUGGCAUCUUUUGCCUUUCAGCAUAUCACUGCAUUGCCCAUUAAUCACUUCCAGUUGAAGUAAAGGUGGACACUCCUCAAUUGCAUGAUUAAAUGGAGUUUGAAAUAUGGAAAUUUCCUUCGCAUUUACAUCGAGAUCAGGAAAAAAAAACGCUAUUUAGAACCGUAAUUUUAGUUCGAAAACAUAUAUCUGUUGCAAUCUUCUUGUGUUUACCUUUGACAACAUGUAAAGUUUAUAGAGCAGCUUGACAUUACUUGUGAUUCAAAUGUUAGCUGUUGUCAAAAAGACUUUACCACAGUAUGUUUCACAUAGAAGUGUUGUUUUCACUUGCAAUUUUAGGAAUUCGUUAAGGAACAUUUUCAAGUCAGCGGCAAAAUUCAUUUCCAAAGGAUGGAGUUUGAAUCUUAUCCUCUUGGAUAGGGGGCUGGCAAAGAAUCCACUUCUAUAUUCUUUCUCCCUCUACCGCUUGCUUUCUUCCUCUACUAAUGGAAUUAUUACUCUUCAUUUUCUUUUCUUUUUUCAAAAAUGCCACUUUAUACAAAUAUAUUUGACAUAUUGUGUAAAUUUAAGGCACAUGUUAAUGCAAUUAGCACCUCAAUCAUGUUGCAUAUUAUCCUUUUUUUAGUGGUUGGAGUACUUAAGUACCAGUCUCUUAGCAAGUUUGAUGAUUAUAAUACAAUAUUGUUGUCCACAUUCACUAUACUGUGCCUUAGACCUCUAGGGCUUGUAAAUACUCAUUCCAAGUUUGUACCCUUACACAACAUCUGUACUUCUCAUUUUUAAAAUGAAUCAUGUUUCAUAAAUAUUUUAAUUCCCUCCUCAAUUUGUUGAAUUCUUAAGGAAUUUGUUUUUCCCUUUACCUUUUUUUAAACUUCUAGUCAGAAGUUUUGAUUUCUGCUCCAAACAGAUUGUAGGUUUGACCACGUUAGAGAUGUCCACACUUCUGCUAAUUUAAAUAGAAACUAAUGAAAAUCGUUAAGUAGUUGUCUCACCAGUAGAUUUCACAUCAAGUUCUUACUCUUCUUUCAGAGGAAGGAUCUGUGAUGAGAAUGAAGCACAUUUCUAAAGCUUUUAUUGGUCACUUAGCAAUGGAUGGUGACAGCUGUCACCAUCUCAUCAGCGAAUCCUCUUAUUUCACACUGACUUAACAGAAGCCAGAUUGUUGCAUUUUUAUGAUCAAAAUUUAUUACUCUUCUCGUUUCCCAUUUUUUUUGAAUAUGAAAUCUUCCAUAAAUACCAUUUAAGGUCCAAAGUACAUGCAAUCAUGCAUAUAAUUAUUCAUAUAAUAAGAGCCCAAGCUGGUUACUGCAGUUAAGAGAGCACAGUGCUCUUUUAGGAAAUGCUUUGUUGAUUAUGAAUGUCAGGGUAAAGAUGAUGCUGUUUAUCCUCCCCGUUAUCUUUAUUAUUAUUGACUUCCUUAUCAGUAUCAUAAUCUAUCCAAAUAUAUUUAAAUGAAGACAUUGGGAGCCCAAAUCAUCCAUUCCACUUUCUCUCUUCAUAUCCUGCCAUGAUUUAGUCUUCCUCUUUUAGGUUUCUUUGGAUAAUUAAUAGAAAUUUGUGGAAAUAUUAAAUCUGAUUCCUCUAAAUAAUUUAAUAACAGAUAUUAAGUCUGAUUAGACUUGUGAACAUAUCUCCUUCCAACCUGAGAAGCUGAUUCCUUAAGUAUAAAGAAGACAGAAUUCACAUGUCAAAGCAGAAAUCACGUAAUAAAAACUAUUAGCUGUAUUUUAAGGUUCUAAUUAUUAGUUAGAUCACAUGAAAUAUUAAUCAUAUGACAGGAAAUCUAUUUAACUGAGUCACAACUAAAAUUUGUAAUGAACAUCACAAGCCUUAAAUAUUCUAGUUUUGGGGAUCGGCUGUAGGGAAAGGAUCCAAAAUACAGGUAGAAGCUUUUCUCCACAUGUUAUAAUUUUUCUGCAGCAGUAUUUUAAAAAGAAAAAAAAAAAAAAGACCAUCUAAAUACUACAUUAAGGAAAAUGAUAAAUAAAUUAUAGUGCUUCAUAGAAUAAACUGCAAUAGUUUAAUAGUUAUGAAAUUUUUAUCAUUAUUAUUAAUAACCAGAUAAUUAUAGUUUCAGAUUAAAAAGGCCAUAUGGAAAAUUGGGCACAUAGUAUGAUUUCAAGUGAAAUCAUAAAAAUAAGCAUAGGAAAAAAGUUACAUAAAAAUCCACUGAAUGUUAAAGUUUAUUUUUUCUGAGGAGUAGCAUUAGGUCGAAAUUUUUACUUCUUCUUUAUACUUUUCCUAUAUUUUUCAAUUUUCUACAAUAAGCAUAAAUAAUGAGUCAUAAACCACCUUUAAAAAUUAUAGUUAAAAUAUUUUAAAAUGCGUUGCUAUUGAUUAUGACAUUAAGUAUAUUUUCUUCUAACAGUUUGUCUCUACUAGAUAGAUGCUAACUGCAGUUUUAAGAGGAAAGAAUUUAUUUUUGGCCCAGUGAAUGGUAAAGUGUGGAGAUUCUAAUUAAUUUGAGGAGUUUUAAUAAUUUCUGUGACUCAGUCUUUAAAAACCUAAUCCAUAUAAUUUUCUGUAAAGAAAUAACAUAAUUAUUUUGGGGACCAUACAGAUUGCUUGAUAGAAUUAACCCUUUGAUUCAGGUAGAAACAUCUAUGCAUCUUGCUCAUCCAGUUGGUAGCUGCCUUUCACUCAGAUCCCCUAUUUAACUGUUCUUAAUUAAUAGAGUGAAAUAAAGAUAGUGUGAAAUAUGAUCUAAAUGAACCCAAAAAUUGCUCUGACCCCAUUUCCAUUAAAAAUUUCUGCUGACAAGUUUUCCAUUAGUAUCAAACAGGAAGUUUUAUUUUUUAAUUGUAUUUUUUUUAAAGAUUUAUUUUUGAGAGAGAGAGCACAAGCGGGGACGAAGCAGAGAGAGACGCAGAAAAUCUGAAGUAGGCUCUGUGCUGACAGCAUCGAGCCCCAUGUGAGGCUCAAAUUCACAAGCCUUGAGAUCAUGACCUGAGCCAAAGUCAGAUGCUCAACCAACUGAGCCACCCAGGCGCUCCUAAUUGUAUUUCAAAAAAAAAAAAAAAAAGCAAAACUAUUUAAUAUGAUAUUUAUUAUGUGCAAGACACUGUUCUUAGUACUUUACAAAUCUUAAUUUAUUUAAUCCCCACUAAAGUCUUAUGUAGUACAGCCAAGAAUUGAACUAGGCAGUUGGAUUUCAAGAUUAAAAACCAUAACCUUGUACAUGGAAUAUGUAAUUGUCUCAAUAUCUAACCAGUUCACAGGCCUACUGAUGAGUUCUCAACUUUAGUCUUUACUGAUUAUAGGCUUAUAUUCUGUUAAAUAGUGAAGAGGCAGAUCUGUGUUCACACCAAAGGUUUACAAUGAAUCUGGUAUUGUUUGGUAGAUAACAAGCUUUGAAAAUAUAUCUCAUCAAAGAAUUCUCUAAUUUUUUUUUUUGUUAAAUGAUUUGAAGAUUUAUUAAUCUACUUUUUUUUUUAAGUUUUUAUUUUUAUUUGAGAGAGAGAUAGAGAGCAAACAGGUGAGGGGCAGAGAGAGAAGGAGACAGAAUCCCAGGCAGGCUCCACACUGUCAGCACAGGGCUCGAUGCAGGCGCCUGAACUCAUGAACCAUGAGAUCAUGACCUGAGCCGAAGUCAAGAGUCGGUUCUUAACCGACUGAGCCACCCAGGUGCCCUAUUAAUGCACUUUUAAAUAGCAAGAUAGUGUCUAUGAAUCUCAAGGUUUUCAAAACUUCAUUUAUGAAGGAUUUUUUUGUAUUUAAAAAAAAUUACAUAUUAAAAAACAUAGUCAAUUCACAUGAAAAAUCAAUCAACACAAUGAUUUCAUAGUUGUAAUAUGACUGACCUUCCAAGAAACUGACACCAAUUUAAAAUUUAAAGAUGGAAAUAAAAAAUAAAAUUGAAUUUGCAAGAAUCUUCAAAUUUUAAAGUUAUAUGGAUACUUACAGUUUUUCUAGUUUAGCAGAUUUUGUAAUGUAGUGAUAUUUUCUCCCUAUCUCCAAGAAAUAGCCACUAGCUUCUAUUUGAAUAUUUAUAGAUAAGGUAAAUAUGCAAUGUUUUGAGGCAUAACAUGUCUUUAUGGGCUAGAGCUCAUGAUUAAAAAUAUAAGUUUUUCUCUGUGGUGACCUAAAUUUUCACAUUUGUAUGUUGAAAACAUUUCUUCUAAUUCUAAUUCUGUCACACUGACUUUCAAUGAAAGAAAUACCCUAAACCUAUUUGGAUAGAGCUAUCAGUUUAUCUCUCAGUCUUUCCCCUGCAAACAAAAAUAUCUCUCACUCUUCAACUCUUGACACAGUUUCCAGAGUAUCAAAUUUGGUGUCAUAACUGUAUGUAGUGACCAGAGUCAUUCAUUGAUUACAUUUCGUGUAUAGACAUGAAGUCUGCAUUUUAACUGAAAUGUGUUUGCAUCAUCUUUUAUAUGCUUACGUCCAAUUCCAUCAAAAUCAAACCAGUUACCAGUCUAGGACUGAGAAUCUCUUGGGGUCCCCUGAGAAGUCAAUGGAUAGGUCUCCAGAAAAUUACUUUGACAAAGGUUCUUGUACUCAAACAUGGUGAGAGAUUGACACUGGGAGAUGGGAGAUCUGGGAUCCACAAAGACAAUGCAAAUGAUGGUGAUUUUCAAAUGAAGAAAUUGCUCUCAUGAGGAGAUCAAGGGAAGCUGUGAAUCUGAUUGGAGAGCACCUACCAAAGGGAAGGAAAAUCUUAGCAAUAGAUAAGAUUUUAUUCUUGAAAUUCAUCUUAAAUUAAAACAGGGCACUUAAACAUUUAUGGGCUUUGCAAAAAUAAAAACAAAUACAAAUUUUAGAGUAUUCAUAGAAAUCAAUUUCGUCAAGUUACAUUUAAAAUCAGUUCCUAUAUGUUUUAUUUUACUAAUAUAGGUACUUUCUCUAAAAUGUUAUUGAACUCUUCUAUUUAAGAGACUGUCCUAGUAACAGAGGCUAUAAAGCUGAAUAAAGCAUUCUUUUCUCUAGAUUUCAGUUAAUGACAAAAAGCUAAUGUGUAAAAAAUUAAAGAAUAUAAAAAACAUGAGAACUGUCAUAGUGGUAUACAGCAGAAAGAUUUGGCAACAACUGUGUCUGAUAAUAUCAGUUACUGACUUUUGGAGAAGUUAAAAAAUGUGUGCUUGGCUUGAAAGCAGAUUAAACUUUCAAGGACUAAAUGAGUAAUGGUUAUGCAGUCUGGAAACUCGUAAACAAGAUUAAAAGUGCAGAAAGUUUCUAAGUAAUUAUUUGACUAUGAAUUGGUUCUUUUGCAGUGAAGUCUUUAUAAAUCUAUAAAUAAGGGAAAAAAAAAGGAUUAGGGAUGAAUAGAAUUUUCUUCAAAAUACUUGACAGCCCAUGAACUUGCUGGAAAAAUACAACCAAUAACUAUUUUAAAAGAGUGUUCUGGGGGCGCCUGGGUGGCUCAAUUGGUUGAGUGACUGACUCCUUAUUUCAACUCAGAUCGUGAUCCCAGGGUUGUGGGAUUAAGUCCCUCGUCAGGAUCCACACUGAGCAUGGAACCUUGCUUGGGAUUCCUCUCUUUCUCCUUCUGCCCCUAGCCCCCUCUCAAAAUAAAUAAACACUUUAAAAAAGAAAAAAAUUAAAAAUUUAAAAAAGAGUGUUCUGAAUUGAACCAUAUUUUUGACAGAUGGUCUGGGAAUAUUUCUGUGUGCCUAAUGAGUAAAUUGAAAUAAAAUAAAAAAAAUAAUACUUGAAAUGGCGGAGGAAACACAAUUAUUAAUUAACAUUGUCAAAGAGCAUAAACAAAUAAUCCAGGCCAAAAUAAUCAUUUAAGAAUUAUCCAUGGUGACAAUGCAGUUUUACGUUCAGGUGUCAACCAUUUCUUUCUUUCCUGAGCCCUGGGGAAACAGAGGCUUUCAACUGUGGAGGAAAGAAAGGAGGAUACGUGAAUGUGAUCAUUAAUGGGAGAACAGGGCUUCUGUUGUUUUGUGAAGUGCAAAACAACCAAUGGGUCACAGGACGGCAGAAUAUGCUGGAAGCCCUUUGGAACUCAAUUCUGAGAAUGCCAUUUCUUUCCCCUCAGGGAGCCCUGAAGAACAAGGAAAUUACUUUGGUCAGUAUGCCUCUGUGUGUGUCUGUAAAUAUUUUCGGCUUAUUCCAGUCGCUGAAGCAAUUGAGGUUUACCACAAUGCUAUUUAGGAGGUUUAAUUUGAAUUUGAUAUUGUAGGGAAUUAUUUUAUGUAGGCUUCUAUUUCGAGAGUAUGCGUUUGACCUUCGCUCAGCUGUGCUUUUUUUGUUACACAAGAACAUGGGGCAUAAGUGUCCAGAACAGGAAUAUCCAGUUUUCCCAGCACCAUUUAUUGAAGAGACUAAUCUUUCUCCAUCAAGUAUUCUUGAUUCCCUUUUCAAAUAUUGGUUGAUCAUACAUGCAUCAAAUCUGUGCUCUCAGUUCUGUUUGUUUGGCCAAUGCAUUGGUUUUUAUUCCAGUACCAUACUGUUUGGAUUACUAUAGCUUUGUAAUAUAGUUUGAAACCAGGAAGUGUGAUACCUCCUGCUUUUGCUAUUUGAGGUCUUUUGUUGUUCUAUACAAAUUUUGGGAUAUAUAUAUAUUUUUUUCUAUUUCUGUGAAAAAGUGCCAUUGGAAUUUUGAUUGCAUUGAAUCUAUAGAAGAUUUGGGGUAGAAUGCAUAUUUUAACAAUAUUCUUUUGAUCCAACAAAACGAUUUCUUUCCAUUUGCAUCAUUUUUUAAUUUCUUUCAUCAGUGUUUUAUAGUGUUAAGGGUAUAGAUCUUUUGCUUCCUUGAUUAAAUUUAUUCCUAAGUAUUUUAUUGUUUUUGAUGCCACUAUAAAUAGGAUUAUACUCUUUAUAUCCUUUUUUUCUUAUUCUUUAUAUCCUUUGCAGAUAGUUUGUUGUUAGUGCACGGACAUGCAACUGGUUUUUGUAUGUUGAUUUUGUGUCCUGCAACUUUCCUGAAUUUGUUUAUUAGUUCUAACAGUUUUUUGGUGGAGCCUUUAGGAGUUUCUUUAUAUAAGAUCAUAUCAUCUGCAAACUGAAAGAAUAUUACUUUGUUUCCUUUCCAGUUUGGAUGCCUUUUAUUCCUGUUUCUUACCUAAUUGCUCUAGCUAGACAUUCCAGUACUAUGUUGAAUAAAAUUGGUGAAAGUGGGCACCCUUGUCUUGUUCCUGAUCUUAGAAGAAGAGCUUUCAGCUUUCACCAUGGUAUGAUGUUAGCCAUAAGCUUGUCGUAUAUGGCCUUUAUCAUGUUGGGGUCUGUUUAUACCAAAUUUGUUGAGAGUUUUAACCAUGAAAAGAUGUUGAAUUUUGUCAAAUGCUUUUUCUGCAUCUGUUGAGAUGAUCCUAAGGUGACUUUUUAUUUUUCAUUCUAUUAAUGUGGUAUAUUAUAUUUAUUGAUUUGCAUGUAUUGAACCAUACUUGCAUGCGAGGGAUAAAUCUCACUUGAUCGUGGUGUAUGAUUCAUUUAAUGUACUGUUGGUUUGUUAGUAUUUUGUUGAAAAUUUUUGCCUCUGGAUUCACCAGGAAUAUUAGCCUUCAGUUUUCUUUUCUUGUAGUGCCCUUAUCUGGCUUUGGUGUCAGGGUAAUGUUGGCUUUGUGAGUCUGGGAGUGUUCCCUCCUCUUCGAUUUUCUGGAAGAGUGUGACGAUUGGUAUUAGUACUUCACGUGUUUCAUAGAAUUCACCAGUGAAAUCAUCUGAUCGGGGCUUUUCUUUCUUGGGAGGUUUAUGGCUACUGAUUUAAUCUCCUUACUUGUUCUUGGUCUGUUCAGAUUUUCUAUUUCUUCCUGAUUCAGUCUUGCUAGGUUGUAUGUUUCCAGUAAUUUAUCCUUUUCUUCAAGGUUAUCCAAUCUGUUGGUGUAUAAUGUUCAUAAUGGUCUCUUACAAUCUUUUGUAUUUCUGCAGUAUCAGUUGUAAUACCUCCUCUCUCUAAUUUUACUUCAUUUUUUUCUUUUCUUAUUUAGCUUAGCUAAAAUUGUCAAUUCUAUUUUUCUUUUCAAAAAACCAACUCUUACUUUCAAUGAUCUUUUCUAUUUUUUAAUCUUUGUUAUUCCCUUCCUUCUGCUAAAUUUGGGUUUAGUUUCUUUUUCUUUUCCUAGUUUCUAGAGGUGCAAAGUUAGUUUGUUGAUUUGGGAUCUUUCUUUUUUAAAAAUAGGCAUUUAUUGCUAUAAACUUCACCCUUCGAUCAGCUUUUGCUGUAUCUAUAAGUUUUGGUAUUUCCACUUUCAUUUGAUUCAAGAUAUUUAUGAUUUUCCUUUUGAUUUCUUCUUUGGCCCAUAGGUUGCUGAGGAAUGAGCAACUUACACAUAUUUAUGAGUUUUCCAGUUUUCUUUCUGUUAUUUAUUUCUAGUUCCAUACUAUUGUGGUUGGAGAAGAUACUUGGAAUGACUUGAAUCUUUAAAUUUGCUAAGACCUGUUUUCUGACAUAACAUCAUCUAUCCUGGAGAAUGCUGUUGGAUGGAAUCUUCUAUAUUUAUCCGUUAGAUUCAUUUGGUCUAAAGUAUAGUUCAAGUCCAAUGUCUCCUUAUUGAUUUUCUUCCUGGAUGAUCUGUUCAUUAUUGAAGGUGGGGUAUUGAAGUCCCCUACUAUUACUGUAUUGUUGGCUACUUCUCCCUUCAAAUCUGCUGUUGGCAUUUGCCAAUCUGUUGGCAUUUGCUUAAUAUAUUUAGGCGUUCCAAUGUUGUAUGCAUAUGUGUUUACAGUUGUCAAGUCCCCUUGUGAAUUGACCCCUUUAUCAUUAUACAGUGACCUUUUUCUCUUGUUUGAGUUUUUGACCUAAAGUCUAUUUUGUCUAAUAGAAGUAUAGCUAUCUCUUUUCUCCUUUAUUUGGAAUAUUUAUAUGGAAUAUUUUUUCCAUCCCUUCACGUUGAGUCUGUGUGUUUUUAAAGCUGAAGUGAGUCUCUUAUAGGCAGAAUAUAGUUGGCCUUUUUUUUUGUCAUUGUAAUCUUUUUAGCCACUCUUUGGAUUAGAGAAACCAAUUCAUUUACAUUUAAAGUAAUUAUCAAUUUGUAAGGACUUACUAGUGACAUCUUAUUAGUUUUCCAGUUCCUUUGUUUCGUUUUCUUCUCUUCUUGUCAUUCUUUGUGAAUUGAUGAUUUUCUGUAGCAAUAUGCUUUGAUUACCUUCUCUUUAUCUUUUGUACCUACUGUGGGUUUUUGCUUUGUGAUUCAUAGGGUUUACAUACCAUUUUAACAUCAUAACAUAACAUAGAUAUAAUAGUCUAUUUUAAGCAAAUAAUGAUGUAACUUUGAUUACUUACAAAAAUUAUUCUCUUUUACUUCUCCCUUCAUAUUUUAUGUUUUUGUUGUCACAAUGUAUAUUUCUUUAAUUUUUUUUAUAUUUAUUUAUUUUUGAGACACAGAGAGAGACAGAGUGUGAGCAGGGGAGGGGUGGAGAGGGAGACACAGAAUCAGAAGCAGGCUCCAGGCUCCCAGCUGUCAUCACAGAGCCUGACACGGAGCUCAAACCCACAAACUGUGAGAUCAUGACCUGAGCCAAAGUCGGACACUUAACUGACUGAACCACCCAAGCGCCCACAACUUACAUUAUUUUAUAUUGUGUGUCCAUUAACAAAUUAUUGUAGCUAUAGUUAUUUUUAAUACUUUUGUUUUUUGAUCUUCAUACUAAAGUUAAGUGAUUAACAUCCUAUCAUAUUACAGUAUUAAAAUAUUCUAAAUUUAAUGUUAUACUUACCUUUACCAAUGUAUUUUAUAUUUCAGCUUUAAGGACUGCUUUCAGUAUUUCUUGUAAGGCUGGUCUAGUGAUCAUAAAUUCUACCGUUUUGUGUGUAUCUCAAGAGUCUUUAUCUCUCCUUCAUUUUUGAAGGACAACUUUGCUAUGUAAACUAUUCUUGUUUGGCAGGUUUUUUUCUUUCAGCACUUUGAUUAUAUCAUCCCACUCUUUCCUGGCCUGAAAGGUUUCUGCUGAGAAAUCCACUGAAAAGCCCUAUGGCAUUUCCCUUGUAUGUGAGAAUUCUUUUCUCUACCUGCUUUAAAAAUUUUCUUUGUCUGAAGUUUAAAUACUGGGAAGAAAACUAAAACAAAAUACAUGUUACUUAAAUCACCAAUUGUCACUUAACAGUGUCUGAAAUUACUAGUCUAUGCAAUUAGCCAGGUGAUAUGAAUUAGAGACAUAAAAUUCUGCAAGGAAGAGGGCAAAGUAGCUUUUCAGAUUAUGUCAUUGUAAAUCUACAAAACCAAAGGAAUCAAAUUAAAAACGACUAGGAAAAAUAAGAUCAUUCAAUAUGGUGACUCGUUAAAAAUUAAAAUACAAUAAGUAAUAUGUUGUUGGAUAUAAAUAAUAAUCAAUUGGAACAUAUAAUGAAAGCAUAAAUAAGAGAAAAAAUCCCAUUUUCAACAGCAACAAAUAAUUUUAAUACUUGGGAGAAAAUGAAUACAAAAUAUAUUGAACAUGGAUAUUUUUAAAUUAAAUUUAUGGAGGGACAUCAACUCAAAACUAUACCAACCUAGGACCUCUCAAAUACUUGAAUGAUUUGAAUACUUUAAAUGAUGUACCUUGAUCUUUUUCAAAAAUAUCUGAUACUAUAAACAAACAAAUUAUUAUAGAUUAUUCUAUACAUUUAAUACAAUCCCCCCAAACUGCAGAAGGAAGUUUGUUAGGGGGUUUGGAAUAAACUAUAUGUUUAUUAUUGAGUUUAUUUUGUAAAAAUUCAUGCUACAAAAUAACAUCUGACAUUUUGUAGAAAUAAUUUAUGUAUGUAUAGAAAGAUUUUGCAAAGUAACAAGUAUCAGUGAUUUUUUUUCGUAGUAAAAUAACUUACCAAAGAAGUGAAGACAAUGGACAUCAUUUAUAAAAUGUAGCUGGAAAAAGUGAAGCAAUCAAUGCCAGAAAACCAAUGCUGACUGUAAAAUUGCCAUAAUAGUCAUAAUAACUGUUAUGAAUUCAGUCAUUGCUUUCCAACUACCAGAUAAGGAAAGAACAGAACAUCUGAUUUCAAAGUAUUUUAUUGACACUUCAUUGAUUUCUAAUUUAAUUUAUGUGAUUUCUUUGAUCACACUAACAAAAUCAAGCCUGAAAUUCACUUUUUUUCUCUUCAGAUAUGCCAUCAUUAACUCUGUAGAACCUGGAAAAUUAGAAUCUGUUAGAUGUGGGAGAAUGAGAGGAAGAUAUGUGAUUGUCAACACUCCAGGUAAGAAACAUAUCCUCAACUUUGUGUGAGAUGCAAGUCUUUGGUCCAUGCCCAGUUUUGCCUAUAUCAAAAGCCACAUGGGUCAGUGGGUGUUACAUAUAUUUUCCUGAUUAAUAGGACAUUUCAUUUAUUUUUUUAAGUUUAUUUAUUUUUGGGAGAGAGAGAGAUAGUGAGCAAGGGAGGGGCACAGAGAGGGAGACAGAAUCCCAAGCAGGCUCCAUGCCUUCAGUGCAGAGCCUGAUACGGGGGCUUGAACUCAUGAACCAUGAAAUCAUGACCUGAGCUGAAACCAAGAGUCAGACACUUAACCUAUUGAGCCACCCAGGCACCCCAUGACAUUUCCUUAUUUUUAUUCAGUUAUUUCAUUAUAUCAUGAAGUACAGAAGGGAAGACAACAUUCUUCAUAUUAAAUAAUAUGGAAAUUGAAAUAUCUAACGAUGCUGCGACUCUAACUUCAUAAUCUUCCUCAGAGUAUUGUUUCAUUUCUCUUCACUGGCCAUUUCCUCUGUUGUCUUAUUUAUUCAGUAUUUUCUUUCUUGUUUUAUAUUUUCCACUUGUCGAUUUAUUUUUGUUAAAGAUUAUAUGAACCUAGGACUUCUCAUAUUUGAGUGAAGGGAAAAAUUUCUCAUAGAUUCCCUGUAUUAGUUUAUUUCCGUAGUUCAUGCUGCUUAAAUAAAUGCCAACAAACAAUGAGAUAUUUACUUUUUAUGCUUAUAUUUCUUAUGUAAAAACUAUAAAGCAAAACCUAAUUGAUAAAUUAAUUACCAAAAAACUAUAAAUCAUAUUGUUAACAAAGUUUAGAGGGACUGGGAAGAUGUUUUGCUGCAAAUAAAUUGCAAAGAGCAAAAAAAAAGAUAUUUUACUUAUGGUCAACUUGACUAUUUGGCUUUACUUGGAACAUUUUUUGAGUUGUUAUCAUCACCAUUUUUAUUUUCCUUUUUUAACUAUACAUAUUUUGUUAAAGACUGACCCAUUAUUUUGGCAGAUCAAUUCACUUACUAGAACACUUCAAAAUGAUUUAAGAUACCACUGACUAGGGGCGCCUGGGUGGCUCAGUCGGUUAAGCGGCCGACUUCGGCUCAGGUCAUGAUCUCACGGUCCGUGAGUUCGAGCCCCGCGUCGGGCUCUGUGCUGACAGCUCAGAGCCUGGAACCUGUUUCAGAUUCUGUGUCUCCCUCUCUCUGACCCUCCCCCAUUCAUGCUCUGUCUCUCUCUGUCUCAAAAAUAAAUAAACGUUAAAAAAAAAGAUUUAAAAAAAAAAAAAAAGAUACCACUGACUAAAAAUAAUUUAUUGUAUAGAAUUAUCCUACUUUGUCUAAGUAACUUGAAUAUUGAUACAAAGGUAGCAUCCAUCUAAUACAUCUGCUUGCUAAGUAAAUAUACUGCCAAGUUUUUGAAUAUGGUAUAGUUCCUUCAGGGAAAAAAAAAAUUCUUGGCAUAAUUAGAAAGGGAAUUAUGGGUAGAAAGUGGAAAUAAGGGUAAAUAGAAAAAUACCUAAAUAUAAAUAUAAAAAAUACCUGAAAGAAUUUAACUAUUAGUCAUUUCUACUUUGAGAAGAGGGGUGGUAUUUAGGAAGGGGUAAAAGUUUAUUUUUAUUUUUUCAUCCAUAGAUGCUGCACUGAAUAGCCAUGAAUUCAUAUAUUAACUUUUAAUAUAAAAUUAGUAAAAUCAGAAAAAAAAUUAAGUUAACUCAUUUUGUACUUCUCCAUAGAAGACCACGCUUCAUUUUACAAACAAGAUCUAAACCUCUCAUUUAGUGAUUGUCUCUCUUUAUCUAUUUAAUUUCUUAUCCCUAGAAGUCAAAAUUAUCUUAGGAUUAAAAAUACUCAGUGAACAUACCUUUAUAAUGUAAUAAAUCUUUUCUUUGACUAAAUUAAAUAACCUUUAAUGUUAAGUCCAUUUCUGUAACAGUAUCUGUGGUUAAUGAUCAGAAAAAUAAAUAUGUAAGGAAGGCAAUAGAAAUAAAGAUCACAUAAAAUAUCACCUUUCUUUCCCUUGUUUAUACUAUAAAUAGGAAAAAUCAGAAGGAAUGUAGAAAACCAUUAAAAUUGCCAUUCGUCCCAAGCCAUAGUCUGACAACAGAAUUCAUUUAAAACUUGGAAUCUAAAUAUGAAUCAUGGGAAUCAAUCCUCUUUUGCAUGAAGCCAUUUGUAGAGAAUCAGGAGAUGACUGGUAGUUUGAAUUCAUAAUAAUAGUAACAAUGGUACAUUUUAGCCAGAUCGAUAGAUAUGAGGUAUAGUUUAUAUACCAACUUUUCAAGAAAUGGAAAUAUUUUUCCCCAUUAGUUCCCCUUAAAAAAAAGUCACUUCCCAUUCUGCCAUCAGUACAUUGCACUUUUCUUUUGGUGUAUAGCUCACUUUGGCUGUACUUUGGCAUUUAAGGUCCAAUACUAUCUCGGGGGAAACAUCUACCCAACAAUCUCUGUGAUCCUUUGAUAUAUCCUGACAAGCUAUUGAUGGAUCUUUCAUGAGUGACUUUGAUAAAAUCCCUUGUAUUCAGACCCGAAAAGAGACUGAACCCUGGUGGAUCACGGAUCUGGGUACCCCUUGGGCUGUGGCCAUUGUGUCAUCCACCAACUGAGAAGAAUGGGUCAUGAAGAGAGAAAAGGAGCUGUUGUUCGGCCUGGACACUCACCUGCUUACAGUGGCAAAACAAAUUCCAGGUAAAGAUCGAAACUUUAAGCUUCAAAAAUAACAACUAAAUAACUCAGUAAGUGUUUAUAUCGGUUUAUGCCCAUGCAGCAGUAGUUCUUUUCUCUCAUUGUAGUUUGGAGAAUCAACUGUAGACAAAGAUAUCUGUAUCAUCUAGGUAUAUGGAAACAGAUACACUAUUCUCAAAUGAACAUUUAAUGUAUUUAAGUUGAUCUUUCAAUUUGCUAAAAGGGAACCCUUCCUUGAGGUAAAAAGAAUGAAGUUAACAUGAGCAUUUCAUAAGAUUUACCGGUAAUUCGAUUGAAAUAAUUAAUUCGGCCAAAAUAAUCCAAGCAGUUGAUACCAUAUAAUUAAAUACUAUAACUUUUUCUAGAAUGAAAACAUAAAUAUGUAGUACCAGCUCUAGAUGUAAGCUAGGUAUGUCAACUCUAUUUAACCAUAAAAUUUACCUUUUCAUGUAUCUUAAGCUCGAGUAAUGUGAGGAAUGUAGAUAAUCCCAUUUGUAUCCAUAAGGCAGGUGGUUUCCUGGAAAAUUGAUACUGGAACCUAGAUUCUUAUAGUAGUGAUACAGUGAGUCUUUUUCUUUGUUUUUGCAGCAUAGAAGAGACAGAUUAGCAGUCUUGACAAUAUAACUUUUACACAGAUGAAGUGAAAGAUAUUCAGGAAGCAUAGAGGCAGUGAAAGAGGCAAUAACAGUCUCAAUUUGCAAAGCAGCGACAUAAGAUUUUUUUUUUCCUAUUUGAUUUGCUAGCAUACACUCAUAUUAUUUUGUUAACUUUUUUAAAAAGAUCCACUUGGAGAAACAUAACAAUUCAUGAUUUAAAUGAGAGUGAUGUAGUAAUUACCCAGAAGUAUAUAAAAUUUCCCUUUUAUUGUUAUCUGUGAACUAUUUACAAUGAAUUUUAAUUUCCUCUGGUCAUUAAUUAUCUGCAUAUUUAAUAUUUCAGAAGUAUCUCCAGUACUGCCUCAUAGGGUAGAUACAACCCAGUCCAAUACCUUGAAUCUGUGUAGAUCUUUUCAAAAAGCCAUCGUCUUUGGUAAAGUUAUGUAUAUUCUGACCUAUUAAGAGACUAAUUUCCUGUUGAAUGGUGGAUUUGGCCUUUCCAGCAAAAUUUGUUACUCAGCAAACAAAGAGAUGGUUGCCAGGAAGAAAUAAAUGAAGCAAUCUAUGAUUCUAGCUGGAGAUUAAUUUUUUUAAUGUUUAUUUAUUUUUGAGAGAGAGACAGACAGAGCUUGAGCAGGAGAGGGGCAGAGAGAGACGGAGACACAGAAUCUGAAGCAGGCUCCAGGCUCUGAGCUGUCAGCACAGAGCCUGAUGCAGGGCUUGAACUCACGAACCACAAGGUCGUGACCUGAGCCAGAGUCAGACGCUUGACCGACUGAGCCACCCAGGUGCCCCAAGUCAGAGAUUAAUGUGAAUAUUGUGCCACAUUAAAUCCCAGGUAUGAAUCCAAGUUUUGAAUUCUAGAAGGACCAUAUGCUUAUCUUUUUUUGUUUUCACUGAUUUGGAGAUACGAUGUAUAUUCAAGAAUUAGAAUAUAAUGAAAUUAGAAGAGCUGCAUCAACGUGAUUCUGUCCCAGGGUCAAAUAACUUCACAGCUUAGCACCUUCAGUGACUCCAGAUCCUCUGAAAGAGCCAUAGAUGAAUCUACGAAGUCUCUUGCAUUCAAACAGAAUUGGAGGAUGACCCAUGUCAGAUGGUAGAUUUGGGCUCACUACAUGUUGUCAACUAUAUUUCAGUCAUUGACAGCGCAGACUUUUGCCAUGAAAAUCUGUAAGAGGCUAUAAUUCUGGUUGGAGAGUCCAUCUGAGAAAGAUGGCACAUUGAACCCCAGAUAUUAAAUCCAGAUUUUAAUUUAACAUUAACUUGGUAACAUAAAUAAUUUCACAUUAAAUAUCAAUGUAAUUGAGGGAAGAAAUGGAAAUUAUGAAGGGAAUUUACACAAUUAGUUUCAUUGUAUUAUAUUGACACUUCAUGUGAAAUUGUUUAUAUUACCUAUAAAAACCAGUGUAGGACUUUCUUCUCUCUUCAACAUCAAAGUGUAGGGCUACUUUUAAUCAACAAAUAAAGGACGUUAUUCAAAAAUUUAUACCUAAUUUAGUUGCAGCUGAGUGACACAUAAACUGAUACUGUACCAACAUCAACAAAAAUGUCACUUAUAUUUUCCCCAUAAUUCGUGGAUUAUCAAAAAGGUAAGUUUACUACCGAGGUAUAUCAGUAUUAAUUAACUGUGGCAAAACACAUGAAAAGAAAAAACGAUAUUCAUCGGCAAUUGCAGCAAGGGUGAUGAUAAUAAUUAGUGUCUGUUGGUGUUAGUCAAGGCAACCUUAGUCUUAUACAGCGAUUUGACGGUUGAGCUAAGUGGGGUAAUAGACUAUAUAAGCAGCUACAUUUCAGGUGUCAUGUGAUAUGGCAUGGAAGAAAAGUCAUAUUUAUGUGCUAUUAGUAAAUAUGGAGAGCUCUUGGGAUGAACAAAAGAACAAUGCAGUUUCUACCCUCCCAGAGUUACUUUUUAUUGAGGAAAGAGAGUAUUUAAGAAAUUGAUGAAAGUACAAUGCAUUUGGCACACAGAGGGCAAGGUGAAGAGUGUACAUGUGAGGUCAGAAAAAUAAAUAGGAUCUGAAGCAUACAUAAUAGCGAAAAAUUGGAAGCAAUUUAAAUUUCCAAUAACAAGGAAUCAUUUAAAUAAGUAAUUUUCAACCCCUGAAAAUGAUAGAGGUAUAUGAAUAUAUAUUUAUAUACAUAUAAAUGUACAAAUUUAUAUAUAUUUACAAAAUUAUAUAUAUAUACACAUAUAUAGCUAAAUAUAUAUACAUAUAUAUGUAUUUAGGUACAUAUAUAGAGAUAUAUUUAUAGAUAUAUAAAUUUUUAAAUGUUUGCAAUUUACCAAGUGAAAACAGGUUCAAAAUCGUGUGUGUAUUUAGAUAAGUAGUCUAUUGAUAGAAAAAUAUGUAUUUAUAUGUGUUUCUGUAUGGAAAAAUCUUAUGAUGUACACUGAAAUCUUAAUGGUGUUUAUCUUUUUAUGGCAAGAUUUUAGAGAAUUUUUAUUUUCUUCUUUUAACCAACGUAAAUUUUUUACACACAACUAUCUUUUCUAUAAAUAUGUAUCCUGUUAGUUUAAAGUAGUGUUUCUUUUUAAGCUAUAUGAAAUGUGACUGAGAUUCAUCAGAAUAACACAGUUCAAUCAGAGGUUGAAUCAGCAAUCAGAACAGGCAAAUCCUCUAAAUGCUAAAAACUUGCAAGAACACUUUAUUAGUGUUUGAUUAUUAGUUUGAUACUCCAUUAAAACAAAAGGAAGUUUUUCUGAGAGAGAGAGAGAGUACAAGCAAGGGAGGGGCAGAGGGACAGGGAGAGAGAGAAUCUUAGGCAGGCUCUAUGCCCAGCACAGAGCCUGUUUGGGGGGGGGGGGGCUUGAUCUCCCCACCAUGAGAUCAUGACCUGAUCCAAAAUCAAGAGUCAGACACUUAACCAACUAAGUCACCCCAGUGCCCAGAUUCUUGUUUAAGAUGGAAAAUAUAUCCCUUUUGAUUUGGAGAAAAAUGUGGGGAGAUCAUUUUAGAAAAUGCGGUUUAUGUGUCCAUGGCUCUUUGUUUCCUGGCCCUGGAAAAUAAGAAGAGUUCGAACAUUCUGAAAAUUAUUUAAAAUGUUGGAAUGGCCACCAGGAUCUUCCUUGGUGUUGAUACAUAUUGAAUGAAUAAUGGAUGAGAGUGAGUGAGUGAACGAAUGAAUUCAUGAAUGGAUGGAUGAAUAAAUGAAGAGGGGAUUCUAGAAGAUUAAAAACUUAAGUUAAAAAGGAAAAAAGCAACAUAAUAUUCCGCCACCAAGAAAGUGUUCCCAGUGUUACUGCUCUCUAGCAAUAACAUAGUGUUCUCUUAACUCACCUACUGGCUCCUCUGCCUACAGCUGAUUUACUUGUUGCAUAUACCACAGCCUCCUGUAUUGAAGCAAAGUAGGUUUGGAAACUGAGUCAAUUGGUAAGAACACCCAAGUCAAAGUAUCUUAAACAAUAAGGAAGUAAGCACCUGACAUAACAUGACAUACGAAGGUACAGUGGCACUGGGGUCGGCGGCGCAGUGGCAUCAUCAGUGCUGGCUUCAUCUCAGGCAGUGGUGAGAUGGCUGUGGCAGGUCCAGGUAUGUCACCUGGACGGGCUGAUGUCUGGAGUCAGAGAGAGACCAUCGUUUCCCUCCUACUCUUCUUUAAGAGCAAAGAAAACUUUGGCGAGGUCCCUGAAAGACCUCCCCACAUAUCUCAUUGGCCAAAAUUGUAUCACAUGGCCGGGCCUCAAGUAAUGAUAACAAAGGCAGUGGAGCUACCACAGCUCAAUCAGCCACUCAGGGGUCACCCCUGGAACCGGGCAGGAGCCAUGCCUCCCCAGAAGCUCAUGUUCAGAAUCAGCAGAUCCCGGAACAAAUUAUGCUUCUGGGCAGAAAAAGGAAGGGACUUAAGGUCAUUAUAGAUAUCUUUAGCAUCAGAGAGAUGAAAUUUAAAUGGGUGCUUUUAAACUUCUGUCAUUUUCUUCCUUCUCCCAGUAGUUGGGAGUCUUCCCAGCAACCUUUCUCUUAUAUUUUUUUAUGGUAUUUACUGUUCCCACAUCCUUUUCAGCUUUCUUCUGCUGCCAACAGAAAGAGAAAGAAAAUGUGCCACGUUACAGUGAAAAAUGAGACACUUUUGUGGCAGUUGACUAUGUAUUAAAUAUUUCCACGAGCUAACCUCUAAUUGGUAUCUCAUUUCAGUAUAGUAAACUUUGUUUAUUAUGAAUCCAUCAUUUUUUACGUACACUAAGCUGGGUUUAUUCUUGCCUUGACUGGGUUGUUUUGACAGUUAAUAAGUAAUUCUAGGUAUAAAUUAUUUAAGUAACUUUCCACAAAGCAUUGUGCUAUGAAAUCAAAGCUUUCAUCACCUACCUUAAUUUGAUCCUGGAAAAAACGUACAGAAAGUUAGAUACCUACGUAUGAAGUUGUCUUCUUUUUCCUUUCGUCUUCUAGUGGUUGCAUUAUUGUUACGCCGUUGACACGAAAUUGGUUUUCUGUUUCAUAUAUAAAUUAGACUAAAUAAUAGAACUUCUUGACAGAAUAAGAGACUUGCAUUAUUCACAAUUCAAGUGUUCCUUCUGUAGUGUAGAGAAGGUAUACAGAUAAAUAUGUAUUGUACACUUUCCUCAUUAUUCCCUUUCUUUUCUUUAACUCUCAUACACACAGAACAGCUUUGCACUGGGCCGAUACCAACACUUAAGGCUAACCACCUUCCUUUUUCCCUCACGAAAUUGGACAGCAGUUCCUGCCAUAUCAGGUCAUUAACUGUUUAUUGCUCAGUUAAUUGAGUGCCAUAUAAAAAUGAGCUGGCCCGGGGGGGGGAGGGGAAAUUAUCUGGCCUUCCCACCUGGGCAAGCUAUGAACUGAGGAUCUGGGAACCAAUAUAGUCAUGAGGUAACGGAAGAAAAUUAAAGACAAAAUUCAAUGGUAGACUUUCAGUUCCAGGAAGGUAGGAUAGAAUGUACUUGUUCCCUGGUAAGUACACCAAAAACCUUGGACAUUAUAUAUAAAACAAACAAAAGAAGGCUCUGAAGGGUGAAAAAAAAAAAAACAGAUUAAACUUUAAAUUACAAUACUGCUCAUAAUCACUCAAAAAAUAAAUACUUUGGUGUAAAUCUAACAAAGCACACAUAUUCCUUGUGGACUGAAAACUACAAAACUCUAAUGAAAGAAAUCAAGUAAGAUCUAAGUAAAUGGAGAGACACGUAUUCAUGGAUUGGAAGAUGCAACAUCUUAAAAGUAUCAGUCCUCCCCAAUAUUUCUAUCAAAAUAUUAGCAAGAUUUUCUGAAGGCAUAAACAAUAUUACCUUAAAUUUUAUGUGGAGAGAUAAAAGACUACAAUAGCUAAAACAAUUUUUAAAAAAAGAAAAAAGGAAGGAAGAAUCAGUCUAUGCAGUUUCAAAAUUUAUUAUAUAAGUGCAGUCAUCAAGACUGUUUGUCACAGGUAGAAACAAAUCCAUCCAUCACUAUAACCAAACAGAGAAUCCAGAAAUAAACCUACACAAAUAUGAUUUUUGGCAAGAAUGCAAAGCAAUACAAUGGAGGAAACACAGCCUUUUCAACAAAUGGUAUGGGAGCAAUUGGACAAUCAUAGGCAAAUGAAUGAUGAAUGAAUGAUUGAAUGAAUGAAUGAACAUCAUGACGCUCUAUCUCAGUGGCACUUAUAAAAAAAUUAACUCAAAAUGGAUCAUCAACUUAAGCAUAAAUUUAAAACUAUAAAACUAUUAGAAAAAAACAUAAAGGAAAAUCUUUGGGAUCUACAGCUAGGCAAAGAGAUCUUAGACACAACACAAAGUGUUAUCCAUAAAAGGAAAGUUCCAUAAACUGGACUUAAUCAAAUUUAAAACUUUUUUCUGUGAUAGAUACUUUUAAAGAGGAUGAAAAGAAAAAGCUACAGAAUGGGGAAAAUAUUUGCAAACCACGUAUUUGACAAGAGAGUAAUAUAUGAAAAUAUAUAAAGAACUCUCAAAAUUCAACUGUAAAAUUAUAGAUAAUACAAUUAGGUCAUGGGCAAAAGACAUGAACAGACAUUUCACUAAAGAUAUGCAAACAGAAAAUGUACAUAGGAAAAGAUGUUCAACAUCAAUAGCUAUUAGGGAAAUGAGAAUUAAAGCAACAGUGAGCUAUUAUUACAUACCAGUUAGAAUGGCUAAAACUAAAAAUAGUGGGAACAGUGAAUGCUGGUGAGGAUGCAGAGAAAUUGGAUCACUGGUACGUUGUUGAUGGGACUAUAAAAUGGUAUAGCCAUUCUAGAAACAGCUUGGCAGUUUCUUACAAAAUGAAAUAUACAAAUAUCAUGCUACCCAGCAGUUGUACUCAUUGACAUUUAUCCCAGAGAAAUGAAAAUUGGUAUGCACAAAAGACCUGUACAUGAUUGUUCAUAGCAGCUUUUCUUAUGAUAGUCUAAAACUGGGACGAUGCAGGGGCGCCUGGGUGGCUCAGUCGUUAAGCGUCUGACUUCGGCUCAGGUCAUGAUCUCGCGGUCCGUGAGUUCGAGCCCCGCGUCGGGCUCUGUGCUGACAGCUCAGAGCCUGGAGCCUGUUUCAGAUUCUGUGUCUCCCUCUCUCUCUGGCCCUCCCCCGUUCAUGCUCUGUCUCUGUCUCAAAAAUAAUUAAACGUUAAAAAAAAAAAUUAAAACUGGAAGGAUGCAGAUAUCUUUAAAUAGACAAAUGGUUAAACAAAUUAUGGUACAUUUAUACCAUGCUCAGCAAUAAGAAGAAGAAACUAAUGUAUACAAAAACCUGCGGGAAUCUCUAGAGAAUUAAGCUGAUAGAAACAAAAACAAUCCCAAAAGCUUAUAUAUAUACUGUAUAUCUCCACUUACAUAACAUUCUAGCUUUCCCUUUAUAAUUUUUACAUUUUUGUAUCUAUUUUACAAAACACCCUCUAUGAACAAUUAAAAACAGAUCAUUCCAGCUUUAUACAACUCUUUCAAAGAAUAGAAAAAGAAAUAAUAAGUCUUCAACGCAUGUUAUGGGAUUAGUACAACCUUGGCAUCCAAACCAGACAAAGGAAUGAAGGUAAAUUACAGGCCAAUAUUACUCAAGACAUACUGCAAAAAUCCAAAAUCCAAAAAUCCAAAUAAAUAUUAGCAAACCGAAUCUAGCGACAUAUAAAUAAAAAAAUAAAUAUAUCAUGACCAAGUGGAGUAUAUUACAGGAAUGCAUGAUAAAAUAUGCUAAUAUAAUUUUCUCAUUAAAAAAUAAAAGUAGGGGCAUCUGGGUGGCUCAGUCAGUUGAGUGUUGGACUCUUGAUUUCAGCUCAGGUCACGAUCCCAGAGUCAUGGAAUCAAGCCACAUGUCAGGCUCCACGCUCAGCAUGGAGCUUGGGAUUCUCUCUCUCUCUCUCUCUCUCUCUCUCUGCCCCUCCCCCCCUUAAAAAACACAAAUAAGUAAAUAAAAUAAAAUAAAAAAAAAUAAAAGUUGAAAGGCAUUUGAUCAUCUCAGUAGAUGUAGAAAAACAAUACAAUUAAAGCAUUAUUUUAUGAUCAAAAACGUGGAAAACUUGAAAGAGAAGGAAAUGUCACUAACAUAAAAGAAUCUGAAUAAAAUAACAUCAAAACCAAAUCCUUAGAGUGAAUAUCACACUUACUGGUAAAAUGUUAAAAAGCAUUAUCUUCAAAAUAAGAAACAUAACAAGAUAUAUACUGUUAGUUGAAAACAGGAAAUAAGAAAGGAGGGGGAAUAAUAUAAAAACAGUCUUACCUUUCCACCUAAGCAAACUAAAAUGCACAGUCUCCCUACUCCUGUUUAAAACAACACAAUAAAGGGGCACCUGGGUUGCUCAAUUGGUUAAGCCAUAAAGCAUUUGACUCUUGGUUUCAGCUCAGGUCAUGACUUCAUGGUUUGCAUUGGGCUCUGUGCUGACAGUGUGGAGCCUGCUUGGGAUUCUUUGUCUCCCUCUCUUUCCGCCUCUCCCUGCUCUCUCUCUCUCUAUCUCUCUUUCAAAAUAAAUAAACAUUUAAAAAAAUAAAAAGAAAAAUAUCAUUUAGUAAAUAAUGUUUUCCUAUACUGAAAAUUUAUUUUAUCUACUACAUUAUUAGUAUGUAAUAAAAGAGUUUAGCAGGUUGUCAGAUACAAGAUCAAUACAAAAACCUUUUCAUUUCUAUCCAUAAACAAUUACAGAUUUAAAAAAUACAACUUAGGGGCACCUAGGUGGCUCAGUUGGUUGGGCAUCCAACUUUGGCUCAGGUCAUGAUCUCGAGGUCCGUGAGUUCGAGCCCACGUUGGGCUCUGUGCUGACAGCUCGGAACCUGGAGCCUGCUUUGGAUUCUGUGAGUUCCUCUCUCUCUGCCCCUCCCCUGCUUGCACUUUGUGUGUGUGUGUGCGUCUCUCUCUCUCAAAAAUAAAUAAACAUUAAAAAAGUACAACUUAUAAUUUACUUAUAACAAACAUGUAUAAAAAUAUAGGAGUUAUGAAUAAUUCUUAUAAAUAAUGUACACUAUUCUUAUGUAUGUAAUCGUAAAACUUCGUUUAGAUACAUCAAUAAAGAUGUCAAGUAAAGGGACAGACUUACCAUGUUCCUGAAUAAGAAGUCUCAUUAUUGUAAGGAUUUCAAAAAUCCCCAUGUUGAUCAUGUUCGUAGUUUUUAAACUUUACACUAUCCCCUAAAGACACUAUGGAAAAAAUUAACUUUUUUUUUUUUUAAACAAGUAAGGAUUAUAUUGUCUUUCUAGCUGCUUCAUCUAAAUCCUAAAAUAGUUUGCACUUCACUCAAGUGUAAUAAUGAGAAGGGGAAAGUAGAAGAAUACAAGUUCUAUAUUGGUUUAGAGGCAAUAUUAAAGUCUGAUUAUAAUAAUAUUUAAAAAUCGGAGAUAACUUUCAGAAGAUUAUGGUCAUCAGGAAAUUAAUACUGAAAACUAUAAUAAACCACCAGAUAAGGCUUUGCACUUUUCACAUUACUGCCAAAUCCACCUUUUCUUUUAAUUCAUCAAGAUCCUCUUAAAAAUCUAUUUAUUUAAUAAAUAUUUAUUGAAUUUUGACUAUAUUGUUUUAGGAGAUGGAGAUACAGAAAUGAGUAAGGCAGUGUAUUCCUUGAAUUCAUAGAAAUUAAAUUCUAAUGGGGGGACUUAAUUAACUAACAAGAUAGUAUUAAAUGAUAGCUUUUGUAAAGAAAAGAAAGCAAGGUAAUGUAAUAGAGAAUGAAUAGGGGAAAGAGAUGUUUUUUAAACUAAGCAAUCAAAAGAAAUGCCUCUAGGAGGUGCCAUUUGAGUGGAAAUCUGAUAACAGUAAGGACACCAUCCUACGGAGAGUUGGAGAGUUGUAGGCAAGGGAACAGCUAAUGCAAAUACCCUUCAGUGGGUGGAACUUUCUCACCAAGGCAGAGAGUGAUAAGAGGUGAGACCUGCAAUGUGGCAAGAUGAUUAUCCCGUAGAGUAGUGGUUCUCAAAGUCUGGUGCAUUUGGAUAAGGGCCCACCAGACACUUUAAGGGGUCAGCAAAGGCAAAACCGUUUUCAUAAUAAUACCAAGAUGUCAUUUCCCUUUCCUCUUUUCUCUUUUGUUGACAUUAGUGUUAAUAGCUCAAAAGCAAGGGUAGGUAAGACUACUGUAACCUCAGCACAGAUCAAGGCACCAAACUAUACUAAUAGUUAUUAUAGAUAUGCUGUUUGUUUGUUGUCUGCCUAACAUAUGGAAAUUUAUUUAUUAUUUUUUUAAUGUUUAUUUUUUUUUGAGAGAGAGAGACAGAGUGCGAGCAGGGGAGGGGCAGAGAGAGACAGAGACACAGAAUUCAAAGCAGGUUCCAGGCUCUGAGCUGACAGCAGGGCUUGAACUCAGGAACUGUGAAAUCAUGACCUGAGCCAAAGUUGGGUGUUUAAUCGACUGAGCCACCAGUGCCCCUCACAUAAGGAAUUUAUUAAGUGAACACUUACCAGCAAAGGAGGCAAAACUGGUGGAUGAAGUCCAACUCUGUCCUCCACUCAGACCUCCAUAUUUUCAUCCUUUUUUUUUUUUUUUUCUUUUGGUCUUUCCUGAGCUUCUAUCCUAAGCCUUCAACCCUCUCCAUCCUUCACCAUGCUUUUCAAAUGUUCCAAUUUGGGAAUUUCUUUUUCUUCAUCUGAGUACACCAUUUCAGAAACCUUCCAACUUGGACCAGGGGAAUUUGAAAUGUGUAUCUCAAAUUAGUUUAAAAUUACACUCAAGUUUCCAUCAGCAGCACCACACACAUCCUGAGUGAUAGUUAUAUAGCAAUAAGUAGAAACUGACACCAGAAACUUGAUCUGACUUCCUCCAUUUUCUCAUGAUAAAGUCCCAACCUCUUGUGUCAUUGUUGUCACUCCUGCUAAUUUCAUGCUUAUGUUUCAAUCUACCCUUAAAGCUUUCUAAAUUUUUGCCAAGGAUUCUUACUAACUUUCACAUUCACAUCUUCAGAAUGAUUGUGUUUUCUUUCCAGACAUAUCUGCAGUUUUGUACUUUGUUUCGUUGUCUCAACUUCUGUUUCUCUGGCGAACACCCUAAACACUCUUGCUUUUUAUUUCACAGGAAUGUUGUGGGUGCCAGCUGUAAAUGGGCUUGGCUUCUUUCUUACACCCUUAGUUAUCAGGGUCAUUUAAUCACUAUCUAGAUCUCUGAGAGUUUAAAAGUCUAAUAAGGAUGUUUGUUUGAGACCUGAGCGAAAAGAAUCUUGGCUCUGAAAUUAAAAAAACAAACAAACAAAACUUUGAAGUCAAAACUGAUCUUUUAUUCCAGUAGCAAAACUAUAAAAGUUCUCUGAAGUUUUUUUGUUUUUGGUUUUGUUUUUUUGGGGGAGGGUUGUUUUUUGGUUUUGGUUUUGGUUUUGGUUUUUAGAGAGAGGGCACUCAAGCAGGGGAGAGGGGCCGAGAGAGAAGAGAGAAUCAUAAGUAGCAUCCAAGCUCAGCAUGGGUCCCAACAUGGGGCUUGAUUCCACGACCCUGCGAUCGUGACCUGAGCCGAAAUCAAGAGUCGGACACUCAACUGACUGAGCCACCCAGACGCCCCACUUCUUUCCAGUUUUAAAAGAAAAAUGAUAUGUGGGGUGCCUGGGUGGCUCAGUCGGUUAAGCGUCUGACUUCGGCUCAGGUCAUGAUCUCACGGUCUGUCGGUUCAAGCCCCGCGUUGGGCUCUGUGCUGACAGCUUGGAGCCUGGAGCCUGCUUCAGAUUCUGUGUCUCCCUCUCUUUGCCCCUCCCCUGCUCACGUUCUGCCUCUCUCUCUCUCUCAAAAAUAAAUAAACAUUAACAAAAAAAAAAAAAAGAAAAAUGAUAUGUGUGCAACAUGGUUCCAUUUAAUAAAUUUGAUAUGCUGUGUCACUGGGCAACUAAUUUUUACAUUCUUGAAGGAUUAAGAAGACACUUUUCCCCCUCGAUCUUCUGUUAUCACUUUAAAUCCAAUCCUAUUUCCUCAGACAUUUGGUCAUCCUUCAAAUAAUUUUGCCAAAUCUUAAACAUUUGACAAAUUAAUUUUUCCUCAUAUAUAACAUGAAAAGAAAUAUCUACCACUCUACAUUUCAUAACUUCUGUUUCGUUCUUUCACACAUAUCCUUUGGGUCCACUUUAAAUAUACUGCAGACAAUAAGGAAGUAUAUCUAAAUAAAUGUAGUUUAAACUUUUGUUCCUCCGGUAGAUUUCCAUAAAUUUGUUUUAGGGAUAAUUUCUAAAUCAUGUUCAGCUCUACCAUAGUGUCUUGGAUACAACUGGAAUUUCUUCCCACUGCCAUUCUUUUCUAAUAUAGUAAAGUUGGCAUAUGCUUAACAUUUUCAAUUAAUUUCAUUUAAGUACAAUUAAAAAAAUUUUUUUUUUAUUUUUAGAGAGAGAGAAGGUGCAUGAGCAGGGGAGAGGGACAGAGGGGGAGAGAGGGAGACAGAGAGGGAGAUGGAGUGGGGAGAGAGAGAGGGACACAGAGAAAAUCUUAACAGACUCUAUGCUCACUGCAGAGCCUGACAUCGGGCUCAAUCCCACAAUCCUGGGAUCAUGACCCGAGCAGAAAUCAAGAGUCAGACGCUCAACUGACUGAGCCCCCUAGGCAGCCCAGUUAAAUACAGUUUUAACUGAAGUUAGAGGAGAAAUACCUACUGCGCACAAAAGCGGCACAAAGGUAGGAGCAAUCAAUUCUGCCACUUGGAGAAGGCAUAGAGGAACAACAAUAACAGCUAUUGAGUACUGAGUGUGUGACAAGAACUUCGUAAUACCAUUUUAAUUAACCCACACGUCUCCACACUGGAAUCUGCAAAGUUCACAGCAACAGUAGCUGAAUUUUUACUUAUUAUUGCUCCUGUGAGUGUUUCUAAAAGUUGCUGGUCAUGUCUUGCAUAUUGUCCAAUAAGCCUGCUUGUGCUGGGUGCUGCUACAGGCCCACGGUGCAUGAGGGUUCUGCCCUCUAGCAGGUGCAAUUUGCUAGUACACAGAAGUCCCUCUCUGGGUGCUUCCACAGCUCCAGCAGGCCCUGACACAACCAUGCAGGAUCCUUAAGAUGCCAGAGCAGGGUGCCAAUCUUUGACCAAGUGGGGAAUAGCAUCCCUCUCCUUUCGCUGAUGGAGUCUAUUAGAGGGCCACUAGGCAAUGAUAUCUGUGACUUAAUAUUCUACUAAGCACUUUGCCACACUGUUUCACUUUUUCAUUCCAGGCCUUUUUCUCCCCUGAAAUAAAACAUGCAUUCUGGGCCAGACCAGAAACGGAUUUGAGUAAUAUGGCAACUAAGCUCUACAUUUCAAAGCUUGGCAGUGUCCCUGGGAAUGAAUUCCCUUCAACAUGGC